rnacentral:lncRNA from 1 species
AUCGGCGACUGUCGGCUGCUCCCUUCCCAAGAAGAGGGGCAAGCAGCCACCCGGCUCCGUUUGCAUGCCCACUGCGCAGCCACACAUCUGCUAUGUACCGCUCUGCACCCAAGUUUGAGGCCGUGGAUCAGCCAGAGUGGAUGCAGGAAGAGUAUGAAAAAAAAAAGAGAAAGGAGCGGAGCUCUUGGCAAGCUGUCGUAGAUUAAAAAGGAGGCAGGUAGGAGCAGAGCUGAAGCAAGUGCCUAAAAGAGUUAUUCAGGAGAAACAAGGGCUUCGAGUGACAUUUGAGUAUGGGAAAGAAAUCAGCAUCCGUGGUUUUCAUUGGUGUUCGGAGCGCUAAAAGCAGAAGUGGUUGCUGGAGUCUGAACAGGAAUCCGAGGCUGAGCUCGCAGCUUCCUCCCAAACUGGGGGAGAAACUGCUCACUUGAUUUACAGGCUCAGUGGCAAAAGAGUUCUUGGUUGUAGAAGUUUACUUUUUUUUGGGAAACAAAUCACUUUGUGAGCAGUGGAACUAGUGACACCUGGUUUCCCAUGGGUCCGUGACCCUUGCUCCUUGCUCCUCCUGCACACAGCAACAAGCCCAGCGCUCCCCUGCCUCUGCGUGCUCAGAUUUCGCAGGGCAGCAAGCAGGUACGUGUGUUCAGGCUGACCAGCUAACGCCGGCACGGUCAGCCAGCGUGCAGGCAACCACUAGCCAAGUUGGCUGCUGGCCCCAUUUCUCUAACCGAGGUCUCUAUCCUGUGCCCAGCCAACCGUUUUCACAAAGUUUAGCAGGGAAAUCAGUAACCUUUGAAACUUCUACCUCUCUGUCCUGUACAAAAGCAAGGUAAAAGUUACUAAUGGGGCUGGAUAGAUUGAAUCUGAGGUAAAAUGUUCUGGUGUAUUGUCUUUGGAUGUAUAUUUAGGAUGUCAGUCCAGGUUCUGGAAAUCAUUUCUCUCCCUCUCUCUCUUUUUCAGCUAUUUUUAACCUGGACGUGUUCUGUGAUUUGUUUCACGCACAGCACUGAAAUGGCACAGCUGAGGGGGCACAGGAGUCAACGCUUAUAA